GAUGAACGCUGGCGGCGUGCCUAAUACAUGCAAGUCGAGCGAACAGAUGAGGAGCUUGCUCCUCUGACGUUAGCGGCGGACGGGUGAGUAACACGUGGAUAACCUACCUAUAAGACUGGGAUAACUUCGGGAAACCGGAGCUAAUACCGGAUAAUAUAUUGAACCGCAUGGUUCAAUAGUGAAAGACGGUUUUGCUGUCACUUAUAGAUGGAUCCGCGCCGCAUUAGCUAGUUGGUAAGGUAACGGCUUACCAAGGAAACGAUGCGUAGCCGACCUGAGAGGGUGAUCGGCCACACGGGAACUGAGACACGGUCCAGACUCCUACGGGAGGCAGCAGUAGGGAAUCUUCCGCAAUGGGCGAAAGCCUGACGUAGCAACGCCGCGUGAGUGAUGAAGGUCUUCGGAUCGUAAAACUCUGUUAUUAGGGAAGAACAAAUGUGUAAGUAACUAUGCACGUCUUGACGGUACCUAAUCAGAAAGCCACGGCUAACUACGUG
rnacentral:rRNA from 1 species